GGUGGCCCUGAUGAUUAAAUAAACCAAGAUUUUACCAUGACUGCAAUUUUAGAGAGACACGAAAGCGAAAGCCUAUGGGGUCGCUUCUGUAACUGGAUAACUAGCACUGAAAACCGUCUUUACAUUGGAUGGUUUGGUGUUUUGAUGAUCCCUACCUUAUUGACGGCAACUUCUGUAUUUAUUAUUGCCUUCAUUGCUGCUCCUCCAGUAGACAUUGAUGGUAUUCGUGAACCUGUUUCAGGGUCUCUACUUUACGGAAACAAUAUUAUUUCCGGUGCCAUUAUUCCUACUUCUGCAGCUAUAGGUUUACAUUUUUACCCAAUCUGGGAAGCGACAUCCGUUGAUGAAUGGUUAUACAACGGUGGUCCUUAUGAACUAAUUGUUCUACACUUCUUACUUGGCGUAGCUUGUUACAUGGGUCGUGAGUGGGAGCUUAGUUUCCGUCCCUUAGGCUCAAAAAGUAGUCCCCGAGUGAGAAGUUAUUUGAACUCGAGUAAGAGCGAUAUCUCAAAUUAGAAGCAAGAGUAGCCCUUAGGCCUUUGUAUUUGGCCAAUCUGACCUUUGUAGAACGAUCGUUUUAACAUAUAUAAGGCUUUCUACCCUUUUCAGUUUUUAAGAUUUUUCUUUCUUUGCUUUGUCAUUCAUGUUCGCAAAGAUUGUAAUGCCUUAGCAUAAAAUAAGGGACUGUUCGAGAGUUCGAACAAUUUUGUACUCUUUAGAGUUUUCGAGGCUUGAUAUUAUCGAAGCCUCUUAUGAUUUCGCUGAAAGGUAGCCCUUUUAACCAGUUUAUAAAAUAAUUCAAAGGCUUGUUUUGUUACGGAAUUCGGACGUCUCCGAGCAGUGUUAAUUUGGCCUUAGCCUCUUUAGUUCGGGAUUUGCCCUUUGGGAUUAGUUUCCCAUUUUACUUCGAGUUUACCCCAAGUGUCAGUCCCCGAGUGGGUGUUCGUGGCCUAUGAAAACCGAGAGUUGCCUAAAGGUCUUAUGACUUCGAAGUUUUGAUAAUUUGAACUCGUUUAUUUUUCGGACGGCAGUCCCCGAUUGUGGGGGUAAUUAUCCGAACUCUAGUUAUGAUCGGCCCUUAGGCCUGUUUACAUAAUAGAUCGAGAGUAUGAAAUUAUAAAAUAGAAGAACUUUUCCAAGGCAUGAGAUAUUGGCAAGGAAAAAUACUUCACUUUAUAAUUGAUUAUACAUGCAUACAUGUUAUGUGCCAGGGUUCAAGCAAACUACGCGGGUACAGUUUGUCUGACCGUUUGUCCCUUACAAAUUUUCGUAUCGAGACCCCGAUGGCAUGACGUAAUUUCCUCGCAACAAAGUUAACAUUCGAGGGUAAUGCCCCCAGUAUUUGAGGUUGAUUGUAAAAAAGCCUUGGAUACUAUUGAACUGUUCUAAGUUAGCACGAUCAAUAGUUUCCUUUAAAAACCUCACCGGAAAACCUAAUUGGGACAAAACCGGUCUAAAGAAAAAAGAGUGCAACACGUGCUUUCGGACCUAAAGAUGUUGCACCGAGUAGGCCAUCGCUGUUUCAGAUCUAAAACCUGUAAAAGUUAGUUUAAAAUUUAAAUGACAAUGGAAGGGGUCGUACCUUAGUAGUAGUAUUGUUUUAGGUGUGAUAUGUUCCAAUUGCUCGGUAGUUGUUCGCCAUUCAUCAUGCUGAGCUUAUGAGAUCCCUUUUCGGUGAUUUCGAUAACCUGGUACAACCCUUCCCAAUACGGACCCAGUUUUCUUUCAUUUGGAUUUUGGGUGUUGAGGGUGACCUUUCUUAGCACCAAAUCCCCGAUGUUAAAAUGUCAAAGAUUAGCUCUUCGAUUGUAGUGCCUUUCAAUUUGCUAUUUUUGAGUGGCCAAUUGGACAAGGGCAGCUUCGCGUCUUUCGUCCAACAAUUCUAGGCUCGUAUUCAUAGUAUCAUUAUAUGACUCUCCUGUUGCAUAUCGAAAUUUGAUGCUGGGUUUUCUGACUUCGACGUGGAUUAGAGCUUCAACGCCAUAAACUAAUGAGAAAGAUGUUGCUCCGAUACUAGAUUUCGAUGUUGUGCGAUAUUCCCUUAGAACUUCGGGCAGUAUCUCUCUCCAUUUACCUUUUGCGCUGGUCAAUCUCUUCUUAAGGUUCUAAAUGAUGGUUUUAUUGGUUGAUUUGGCUUGUUUGUUCCCACUGGGAUGAUAAGGCGUCGAUAGGAUUCUCUUGAUCUUGUGAUCCUCAAGAAAUUUAAUCACUUUGUUGCCUAUGAAUUGCUUUGCAUUAUCACAUACGAUCUCGGAGGGCAUCCCAAAUCGACAUAUGAUGUGAUCCCAAAUGAAGUCUAUGACUUCUUUUUCUCUGACUUUCUCGAAAGCCUGUGCUUCAACCCACUUAGAAAAAUAAUCAAUCAUAAAUAAAAUAAACUGAGCUUUACCUGGGGCCGAUGGAAGAGGGACGACGAUGUCCAUUCCCCAUUUCAUGAACGGUCAUAGGGAUAAGAUCGAAUGUAGCUGCUCCCUGGGCUGGUGAAUCAUUGGCGCAUACAUUUGGCAUUGGUCGCAUCUUCAAACGAACUCCUUUGCAUCCUUCUCCAUAUUGGCCCAAUAGUAUCCUACCCUGAUUACUUUAUGGACCAAUGAUUCGGCACCAGAAUGAUUUUCGCAAGUGCCUUCGUGAACUUCUCGUAAGACAUAAUCGGUAUCUUCUAGUCCCAAACAUAUUGCCAACGGUCCAUCGAACAUCCUUCUAAACAGCAUUCUGUCUUCGGACAAAGUGAACUGUGCUGCCUUUGUGCGUAGAGCUCUCAAAUCCUUUGGAUCUUAUGGGAGUUUUUCAUUCUUAAAGUACUCUAUGUACUUGUUUCUCCAAUAACAGGUCAAACACGUGGAGUUUAUUUCAGUGUGGCCUUUUUCGAUCACCGACCUUAAGAGUUGUACAUCAGUCCCCGAGUUGAGUUUGUCGUCUUCGAUCGAUGAGCCUAGAUUGGAAAGAGCGUCGGCCUCGCUGUUCUAUUCUCGAGGUACAUGUUUCAAGUCCCAUUCCUUAAUUUGAUGUAAAGCCAUCUGUAGUUUAUCUAAGUAUCUCUGCAUUCGAUCUUCUCGAACUUCAAAAGUUUCGUUAACUUGGUUUACCACGAUGAGUGAAUCGCACUUGGCUUCUAUGACCUCCGCUCCCAAGCUCUUAUCUAGUUCAAGACCUGCAAUCAUGGACUCAUACUCGGCCUCAUUGUUAGUCAAUUGUGUAGUUUUGAUAGACUGUCUAACUACACUAUCUGUUGAUGAUUGCAGCACGACGCCUAGUCCGGACCCCUUCGCGUUCGAAGCACCAUCCGUAAAGAGGGUCCAGACCCAUGAAGAUGUACCCGAUUUUAUUAGCAGUUCUUUUUUGACAUCGGGUAUGAGGGUCGGCGUGAAGUCAGUCAUGAAAUCUGCUAGGAUUUGAGACUUGAUGGCGGUUCAGGGUCAAUACUCAAUAUCGUACCCACUGAUUUCAAUGGCCUAUUUGGCCAAUCGACCUAAAAGUUUAGGUUUGUGCAAGAAAUUUCAAAGAGGAUAAGUUGUCACAACACAUAUUUGAUGAUAUUGGAAGUAUGGUUUUAGUUUUCUAGAGGUGCUUAUUAAAGCAAGCGUUAAUUUUUCUAAGUUUGGAUAUCUAGUUUCGGCUCACCUAAGGUCCGACUAACAUAAUAGAUAGGUAAUUGCGUAUCUUGUUCUUCUCAGACCAGGACUCCACAUACCGCUAUCUCUGAGAUGGUCAAGUACAAGUAAAGAUGUUUGUCCACUUUUGAGGUAUGAAGUAGUGGCGGGCUUGAUAGAUACUUUAGUUUUUCCAAGGCUUUCUGGCAUUCCGGAGUCCAUGCAAAUUUGUUCUUCUUCCUAAGCAGUGAGAAGAAUCAGUGACUCCUGUCUGAGGAUCUCAAAAUGAAUCACCUUAGGGCAGCUAUGCGCCCAGUUAACCUCUACACGGCCUUUACAUUAUCUACGACUUUGAUAUCCUCAAUAGCUUUGAUUUUAUCGGGGUUGAUCUCGAUCUCCCGAUUGGACAUGAUCACGCCCAACUUUGCCUUAUAAAAAGGACAAGCGGUCGUUGCAAAUAUAAUGCGAGUAUUUAUCCUAGAGUCGAAUCCAUAGGGAAUUAACCUACCAAUUACUUUUGUCGGACUCACUAAAUUCUUCGUAAUCAACUUCCUAGAUAUUUUGAAUAACAAUUGGUGAUAUUUUUACUAACUAUAACUGAAUAAAUUUAAGUAACUAAAAGCUAACUAUGACUGAGUUGUAAACAAAUAAGAGAAGGAUGUAAGGUUGUGAUUUCCCCUAUUGAUGGAAUCCCUUCCUGUUAUAUUUUGCAUAGACUUGUCUAAUCGUCUUUAUCAAUAAUGAGCACUAUUACUACCGUAAAUCUCUUCUAAGUAAUUAUGACGACUUACUAGAUGCACUAUCCCGAGUUACACUAGCUGACUUUUCUUACAGCUCACUUAGAUCGCACCCAAGGUUUCGUUAUUCCUAAUCCCACCUUUAAACUCUAGGUUAUUGAUUCCUCAUAUACUUUGGGAGUGGUGUUGUUCAACAACUACCUAAUUAUGCACUCUCUCCCGAGUAAUACAUAUUAAAUAGGCACAGCUAAUUGAGGAUCUUAUCAAUUAACUGCAACAAGAACGUAGUUGAGCAAAUAGAGAUUAAACUGGGAAAACUAUAUUAACACAACAAGAAGUUUAUCCCUCAACAGGUUCCAUCAAAACUCUAGACUAAAUAAUUAGCUAAUAAUAGCAAAGCAAAAUAAAAACAUACAUUCAUAAUUCGCAAGUAAUGAUAACAAGAAGAAGAUUCAAAAACCCUAAUGGUGGCUUGAUCUUCUCACACUUGUUCUUGCCUCCAAUUUAGUCUAAAAAAAAUCUUAGCCUCUGCUUGGGCGAGUUUGUUGAGUUUAUAAAGGGUUAGGAUAAGUUUCCCCUGAUUUACACUUUAGUCCCCAAAUUUCUGGGCGAUUACACAGUUGACCGCGGCCGCGGCAGAACGUGGCGCGACCGAGGUGAAAUGCAUCCAUUCUGCCUCACUCGUUUGGCCUACCGCGUUCCAGCCGCGGUCGGCCACGGUCGCGGUGGCCUCAAGUCCAGUCAUCCUUUGCCUUUUUCUUGCUUAUUUUCAUUUGAGCUCUUCUUGAUUGGCCUUAUAUCCACAUUUUUUACUCCAAAACAUUUCAUAGUCUCUUCCUAACUUGGAUUAGUUCCUGCAAAGCAAAAGAACACUAAUUAGAGUAUUUUGUUAUCAUUUUGUAUUUAAAACAACAAUAAAGUAUAGUUCAUUUAGAGUGUAAAUAGAAUCUAUAUAGCCUACUAUUAGGACACCAUGAAGCCGAGAAACUUGCCCGAGCCAAUCUCGAAUACACACUUUUUUGGGCUGAGAUUCUUAUUGUACUUCCUUAGUUUAUCGAAAGUCUCCUUCAAAUGUUUCAAAUGGUCCUCUGCUUACAGGGACUUCACUAGCAUGUCAUCAAUAUAAACUUCCAUAGAUUUUCCUAUUUGUUGUUCGAACAUGUUUACCGUGAAAAUGAUAACAACAAUUGAAUUUGUAAAUGGAAUUUUAAAUAUACGUGAUCUAUUUUUAUGUUAGUUGUUAGAACAGUGAUGCUAAGAAUAUGAAGUUUGACGAUAAAAUACAAGCUAAAAUGGGGCAGUGAUCUAACCAAGGGGCCUGCUGCCCUGACUUCGGAAUGGUCGAUGGAGGACCUCGAGAUUGAUAUCUGGGCUCAAUCUCGAACUAUAGGGGGUAGUCAGGAAUGGGAUAACAGUUAAGAUAUGAUUGAACAAGGCUUUUUAGGGCCAAUACCAAGCAAUAAAUGAAGAACAAGCGAGAGAAUAGUAAAUGCUCGAGCGGCGUCGAGCUAAUAAGGACGAGCAAGUUAGAGAGAAGAAAGAGAGAGAGAUGUUAUUGAUCUUGUGGAGAAAUAGUUGGAGCAACAUCAGCCCCUUACAAAGUAGUGUGGGUUCCUUUUAUGUAGGAGGGGAACCCGGCUAUAGUACAACAUCUAUCAAUUGUAAAGCAUGGAGAUGGGACGGCGAGAUGCGACGCUUCGGCAUAGGAUCUGGAUUGGCCGGCUCUGUCAGAUUUUAGUCAUGUGCCUUGGGAGCUUUCCUUUCUACUCUAGCCUCGACCUUCGUCUUCUUCGAGUCGAGUCCCAACAAUUCCCAAGGGAGGGGACUCGGUCGCGGCUCCACGUCCUCGGGGUCUCGAGGCAUUCUUCCAAAGUGGCUUGAUAGCGAGGAAUUAUGUCCUCUAAUUUCACUGCAUACAGAUAGUCUCCGCGUUUCCCAGAAAAAAGCGAUGGGAAAUGAUUCUAACACCUGACUUCAUAAGCUUCUUACAGCGACGUCGUACCAAUGAUGCAACCUGUGGCACGAGCUUUUGUGGCAACUGGGGUAUCCCAUGGAUUUGUGCAUUUUGACAUCAUUCAAUGCCCUGUCGAUUCCUGUCCUCCGAGAUGAAUGUACUGUCAUCGAUUUGGUUCUUCAAGAAUGCAGUAAUUGUACUCGCUGGUCAAUAUUCCAAAGCCUCGAUGACCGUGUCAUUACCCCCUAUAAAUGGGGGUGCCUUGGCGUUGUUUUUUCUAUCCCAGUACCUUCGUUAGUUCAUUUGCCCAUUUAUUCUCAUCAUCUUCUUCUACACUUGAACAUUAUGCUUGAGGUUCAUGGCCUCAAGGCCGUUUGGCAGAGCUCCCGUAGGUUGUGUUGCGGCCUCCUGCAAGAACUUCCCUUUUGUCGAGCAUGACCAAGUUGUCCUGUCGCUGCUAUGGUUGUCGUUAAGUUUGCCACUGCUGUUGCCAUUGGCUCGAGAUGAUGAUGGACGGGAAGUUGGUUUUCCCCUUAUGUAGACAGUCAUUCGGACUAUGCACUGUUGCUCAUUCUCCUACCUAGGCCUGGUGUGGCACUUCAUCCCUUGGGUUUUUCCUUUCCCAAGGGAUAAAAUGGCACUACCGGUCGUUGAGGCUGGGGCCCACCAAAUCUUCAACCUCUGGCUUUGGCGGGCCAUGUCUUUUUUCUCUGCCUCCUCCGCAUCCCCUCCUUUUCCUCUUCUUCAUCUUUUACCUCGGUGGGACCCCUCGAGGGAUCGACUGGGAACCUGGAGGAGGUGGCAGCCGAAGCAAUCGCCCUCGAGGAUGCGUGCUCGAGGGAGCGACACUCGGGGAUGCUGAUACCGGUGAUGGGCCUUCGAGGAUGGAUUGGGCUCUUGGGUUUCAUCAUAUGUACAUCCUUCCGUUCCUCCAUUUUUGUGUAGAGACCGUCUGUAGGCUUUUGUAAUUGUAUGUAAGGACCACUCGAGAGAUGUUGUACAUGGAUAUUUAUGAAUAUGAAGAUAUUUACUUGAUUUCUAUUUUCGAGUCUUGCCUUAUUAUUGUAUGCUCUCGUGCCCUUCGAGGACUUUGAAUGUUUUCCUUUGUCGUUGAUUGUUGAUAUCUAACUCGGACAAGAGCGUUCUUUUCGAUCUUCUACCGAUUGACAUGGCUCUUUCCCGAGUCCAUUAUCAUACCUUGGACCAAGCCUGAAUUGUUCAGAUAGACCCAAGCUGUCGGGCCCUUCGGGUUGCAUGGAUAGUUCACUGAGUUCCGGAGCCUUCGAGAGUUGUAUCUUGAGCGAGGGUCAACUUCGGGUACCCAGAGGUCAGUUUGAAACUUGACGCAGAUAGCCCUUUUAAAGCGUAGUGUAUAGACCUCCUUUGAGGGAUUGCCUAUACUUAGGCGAUGCAUCGAGCCCUCCUACAGCCUUCAUGAUCGGAGCUUUGUAUGUUUAUUUUUCUUUUUAGGAAGAAAAAUAAUGAGAUCGAGUACCGCCUCGAGUUUUAUGACGGCGUUAAAAGCUUCCCAAAGCCUGACUUCUUUUUUGUCUGAAAUCCUUGAGGUCGGGCACUACCUCGAGACUGGAGACAAUACAGUUGAAUCCAUAAGGCCUGACUUCUUGUCGAUGGACGGCUCUGAGGUUGGGUACCACUCCGGGAUCUACAUCGAGGUUGUUGGCCUCCCGAGGCUUACCCUAGAUAGGCGAAUCAUCACCGCUUCCUGCAUAUAUGUGGGGUGGCUUUUAUUUCCUUGGGAGAUCUCAUUAUUCUGGAUAGUUAUCCCUCCGCCUUGGCAUCGGGUCCUUUGUCUCUUCAAGCGCAAAAAGCGUUGGAGCACGUCUUAGCCUUAGUCUGUCAAUUCCACCAUAGUCAUGGCAGCUACUUCGGGGCCGGGCCGGUAGGGAGGGGAGAGUCCUACUCCCAGCGUUCGUGCUCCGUGGGAGUUCACUCUGAAGACUGUGUUUUUGAUAAGAGAGGAACAUCUGGAGAUGGUGAGGAGAUACAUCGAAUGGAGAGAGGGGAUCCACAGCAGAUGCUUUCCCCGGAUGAGAGUAUUACGGACUCUGUUGAUGGAUUCUUGAAUGUAUACCUAUAUCCCUUCACAUUUGGCCCCCUUGACGGGGUUGUGCUUGACUUCUGCUUGGAGAAUCGGGUUACUAUGGCGCAGAUACACCCGUCUUUCUGGCGAGUGGUAUUGAUGAUGAGGUUCUUUGUGGAGAAGGUUGGGCUUGAAUUCACGCUUAGCCACCUCGUCAGGCUGUACCGGCCCUUUCAUCACCUAGGUCUGUUAACCUUACGGUGUCGUUCGUCUAUGCCUUUUUGUCACGACCCAUUCCCGAACCUGGUCAUGAUGGUGCCUCUCAUGAAGCUAAGGCCAGCCAUUCAACCCAAUUCAUCCUUUUAAGACAAUUAAUUAACACAAUAAUAGUAUAAACAUGGUUUAAUAAUAUCCAAUAGCGGAAAGUAUAGAUAAAAUACCGAAAACCAACCCGACUCAGCCCUAACCGGGGUGUCACAAGUCAUGAGCUACUACAGAGUUUACUAAAAUUCUACAAAGUAUGGAAUUAGGAACAAAGUCUGAAGAUAUCAUAAAUAACANNNNNNNNNNNNNNNNNNNNNNNNNNNNNNNNNNNNNNNNNNNNNNNNNNNNNNNNNNNNNNNNNNNNNNNNNNNNNNNNNNNNNNNNNNNNNNNNNNNNNNNNNNNNNNNNNNNNNNNNNNNNNNNNNNNNNNNNNNNNNNNNNNNNNNNNNNNNNNNNNNNNNNNNNNNNNNNNNNNNNNNNNNNNNNNNNNNNNNNNNNNNNNNNNNNNNNNNNNNNNNNNNNNNNNNNNNNNNNNNNNNNNNNNNNNNNNNNNNNNNNNNNNNNNNNNNNNNNNNNNNNNNNNNNNNNNNNNNNNNNNNNNNNNNNNNNNNNNNNNNNNNNNNNNNNNNNNNNNNNNNNNNNNNNNNNNNNNNNNNNNNNNNNNNNNNNNNNNNNNNNNNNNNNNNNNNNNNNNNNNNNNNNNNNNNNNNNNNNNNNNNNNNNNNNNUCAUGUAUUUAACUCAUAAAACUUACCUCCAAUCGAUCUUAGUUAAAACUCCCUUCAAUCCCCGUCCAAAAGCUCUCAAAAUGACUAAAAAUGGUGGAGAAAUGGGGUGUUUUUCGCGAAUGAAAUGUAAACAUUCUGCCCAAAAUUCACGAAUACUGUUACGGAUACUGUUCACGACACUAUUCAUGGGUACUGUUACGGGGCACUGUUCAUAACUACUGUUCACAGUGCUGUAAAAAAAUGCAGCAACCUUAUUUUUUUCGUGCCUAAAUCGAUCCGUUAACCUUCCGAAAUACACCCGAGGCCCCCGAAACCUCAACUAAAAGCACCAACAUGUCUUAAAACAUUAUCCAAACUUGCUCCAAUCGUCAAAACACCUCAACUAACGCCAAAAUCAUCAAAUUAUAUCGAAUUCAAGCCUAAAUUCUUUUAAAACUUCUAAAACACACAUUCGAUCAAAAAUCCGACCAAACGAUGUCCGAAUGACCUGAAAUUUUGCACACAUAUCCCAAAUGACACAAUGAAGCUACAACAACUCUCGGAAUUUCAUUCCAACACCCGGAUCAAAAUCUCACCUAUCAACCAGAAUUCGCCAAAAUACUAAUUUCGCCAAUUCAAGCCUAAUUCAACACCGGACCUCCAAAAUUACUUCCGGUCCUGCUCCUAAGUCACAAAUCACCUCCCAAAACUAACCGAACCGUCGAAAUUCACAUCCGAGCCCUUUAACUCAUAAGUCAAUGUCCGGUUGACUUUUCCAACUUAAACCUUCUUAAAAGAGACUAAAUGUCUCAUUUCUUAUCAAAAUCGCUCCAAAUAAAUUCUAAUGCACCCAAUACCGAUAAUGAAACAUGAGAAAGCAAAAAAUGGGACGAACGAGACAGUAACUCAUGAGACGAUAGGUCGGGUCGUCACACUUUUGUUGUCGAUGAUAGAGAAGAUGGGGACCAAGAGUGGGUCAGUCGAUUCAUCUGGGUUCGGACGGCUGACAUUAUCCCCGUGGAGCUCUUGCCAUUUCCUGAGGGAUGGAAUUACGUGCGUUAGUGGGGUGUCUUGCGCUCCUUUUGAUUUGCUCAUAGUUUAAGCCAGUUGGAUAAUCGUGUCUCUUCCUGUUUUGCAGCAACUUCAUGGACGCCGGGAAAAUUUCUCGAUCUGCCCGACUGGGUACGGAGGUUGGCGACCCAUUCGACUUGCAAUGAGCGUAGGUGGCGAGCUGUGUUCCGCGACAGAUAGGGAACGAAAUGCUAGGGUAUACACGUACGCUGCUCCUACCUUUACCUUUGUAUAUUUGAGAUGACAUUUCCAUCUCUCUUUGAUACCGGUUUUGCUGUUGCAGGUAUCGGGCGGUUAUUUGGGGUGAGGUUGCGCUCCUCCGAAGAGGGGAAGGAGUCGCUAGCCUCUGAGUUGAGGAAUGAUGGCGAUAAACAGGAUUCGCACCCGCGUUAUGAUGGAGCUUUGAAUGGGGCUCAACGGGCCCGUGUCUUCGAGGAGAGGACAUUGCCAGAGCAUGCUGUCCCCGGAGUGUUUGGUUCUAGAAUGGUGGUUCCUCCAAGCAAAUAUAUUUUGCUUGGGGUUAAUUCUUUUAGGGCCGAAGGGGCAGGAUCGACAGGAGUGUGCUCUACUUUCGAGGAAGUCUAUCGGCUUCACUUCAUAGUGAGUUUUGGCGCAGUCCUUCUGUAUUUCACGUCUUCCUUUCUUUAUCGAUUUUUUCUUUUGUAGGCCUUUGAUAGGCUCAGGUCUAAGUUGCUCUGUCAUAGAGCUAGGCUUCAAAAAGCUCUAGACGAGGGUGAGUCCCUUAGGCUUCUUAGCGAGGAGAAGGAGGCUGAGUUGAUGCACUGGCGAUAUGAGGCAUUUUGGAUCUCAAAUUACGAGAGCUUUUUGAUGGAGCAGGUAACCUUCUAUAGUACACUCUUCACUCUUUUUGACCCUUAAGGUUAAUCCUUUUUCCUAUCUUAGCUGCAGAAAAAGACAGAGGCCUGGAAGUACUUUAAGGGCGAAGCCGGCCGCAUCAGGAAUACUUGCGGUGAACUGAGGGCACAGGUGCAGGAUCAAGCUUUAGAGGAGAGAGGCGCCUUGGCCAAGGUCCCCGCCUUCGAGAACCCAACUCCGCUUGGCUCGUGACAAUGCUACAGUUCAAGCGGAUAUGAUUAGGAAGCUCGAUUCCGAUCCCUUGAAGAUCAGGACUAAGAUAAUCGAUGCCCGGGCUGAAGCAGCAUUAAGUCAAACCAAGGCUGAUUAGGAGAUGGCAAUUCCUAUGAAGGACGCUGCUAAUGCCCAAGCCGAGUUGAAGCGGGCCCUCGACCGUGAGAAGAGGAUCGAGGAAUAUGUUCGUUGCAGAUCCCAAAGAGAGGUACUCGAGGAGAUCGGCACUAGGGGCUUCGUUUUCUCGGAGGAGUUGGCUCGAUCCAGGGCGGAUGAGCGCGAUGUUUGGUCCCUUCUUGCUGACGUUAUGGAGAGUGAAUCUAGGGCUGGAAGGUUAUAACCUUUUGGAGCGGAGUGUAGAUUUCUUUAUACUUUGAUAUUUGCAGAGCAUGUUUGUAGAUGGAGAGCACGCCUUUUGCAUAUAUAAAUAAGAGAAGACUUGAAGUUUUGUCUUUUUUGUAUCUCUUUCUUCAUUGCUUUUGACCAGUCAGGCUAGUUUCGAUGUCUCGCGGGAGCCUUGUGGAUCCGGAGCUUACUAGAUAGGCCCGGAGGCUCUUAAGUACGUUUUCUAACGUGAGUAGCCGUCAGGGCCUUAGCACUUUGCCCAGCUGUUUAGGCCUAGUCUCCGAGUUGGGCCCUGAUUCGAGCUUACAUGUCCUCCGAUCUCCCGUUCCUGCAUGGGCUGAUGGUGAUUGUCCUUAUUCCUUGCCCGUGGGCAUUUGUGUUCCAACUAUUAAAUCGACCCUCAAUUUUUUUCAUGCCUUCAUAGGGGGGCGACGAUGGCCCUUGUGCUUCAAGUCGAAGCGACCUUCUAUGUGUGUGGCCCGGAGGCUUGUUCGGCUGGCGAUAAUGGCUCUUACACUUUUGCCCGUGGGCAUUUUGUAGUAACUAUUUUGGAUUCGGUAUCCGAAUCGGGUUACGACUCGAGCUCACUUUAAUCCUCAAGUUUUCAAUUUUCAGACUGGUGACGGUGACUCUUACGUUGUUUGGUCAUUGAGACCUUUUUAGUGUGCGGUCCAAAGGCUCGUUUGGCUGGAGACAAUGGCUCUUACACUUUUGCCCGUGGGCAUUUUUGUAGGUUUUGUUUUCCUCUAGUUAAGGUCUUUUUUUUUAAAUGAUUUUGCUUGACCCGUCGUCGGUUCUAGAAGAACCUCGAUUUCAAGUAGUUAGUGGCGAUGUUCGAGCACCUCGUAAGGUUUUUAUCUCGUAGGCAGAGUAGCUCGAAGCCUUGUGUUUUUGGAGCUGACAUGGUUGAAGCAUGUUUGCCUGUUGAGGGAAGCCUGUUUUAAUCGGUUCUUUUCGAAGUAUAUUUGAAGUAAUGGCCUGUGAUUUUGUUAGCGACAAUUGGGCGUCCCUGAGUCACGUUAAUUUGGCUGGAGCAACCAUUUUGACCGUAGUUAUAUGUGUUUGGCCAGAGCCAUUUUUUUAUCUUGAGUGAUAGUUUAGGCGUCUACACCGAGGGUAUGCCCUUUCAGGAUUCUUACAAAUGCGAUGUAUAGCCUAAACUUCAGGAUUGAGUUUUAUGCCUGUAGAAAGGUCUUACAAAAUUUGCAUGCCUGUUGAGGUCUUACAGUUUGUCAUGUUGAGGUCUUACAGUUUGUCAUGCCUGUUGAGGUCUUACAGUUUGUCAUGCCUAUUGAGGUUUUACAGUUUGUCAUGCCUGUUGAGGUCUUACAGUUUGUGUUUCUAUGUAGAACAGGUCUGGUUGUACCGAGUCUGCCCGCUCGGGGUCUUACAGCUUCGGGUUUUCCAGUGUUAGGUGAUUGGAGAUAGUCUCCGAGUUAUUGAAUUUGCUUCGGCUCGAAGGCCGUUAUUCGUGAGCUCGGAGUUACCUUGAUGAGGCUUUAUGAGCCCGGAGUUCCGACCCUAGGGUCGUGUAGGUGCCAAAUUAUUAACGCUAAGUCUCCGAGUAUUUUGAGACGCAUUUGGUGGGGGAACUCCUACCGAGGGUGUGCUGAAAUUCCUUUUAUUGGAGAGUGAGAUACUGAAAGAUAUUCUUUUAUUGCUUGUUGUAAACACAUAUCGUUUCAUUGUUGUGAGCUCAGCCCGCGCGGGCGCGGCUCCUUGGACCAUUUGGCCUGGUACACAAUUCCCUAUUGAGGCUCAGUCUGUUGUUCCCCAGUCCUUCCGAGCGGACGGCGCCUUUAAAAAAAGGGGGGUGUCCUUCAUCGUUUGAUUGUAGAAGAAGGCCUGUGAUCUUGUCAGAUCCUCCUCAAGGGUACGUUGCUUCGCUAAGUACCUUGCUGGCGAGACCCUCUUUGGGGCGGAAGUCCGGCCGAGGGGAAAGAGCGUGGCGGUUGCUAUUAAGGCCUUGAGGUCUCCGAGCAGAGUUAGAACUCCCGAAUUCCCUGACCCGAUGUCUGCAUACAGGUUAGUGAAAAAUAACGAAGGAGGGAGGUAGUUUUUCUUUACCGCGAGAUGCGUAGGCGAUGUGUCAUGUGAUACGGGAUUUCCCCUUGUCGCAUAUUGCCUCCUGCCGACGGUUUUAAUUUCGUCCCUCGUGUGGGAUUUCAUCUUUUUGGCAAAGUAGGGGCAGACCUGUCCUCGGGUGAUGCACCCGUGGUUGCCUGGAUAAUAUGUCUAUGCCUUGUACCUCCCUUGAUGACAUUGAACUCGGCGUUCCGACCUGGGCCAGUCAUGCCGUACAGAGAAAAUGGUCUUUCUUCUUGUCGUAGCGAUCGCCGUUUGGAAUCUGUCAAAGAUUCGAGAGGUGGUUGUGUUUUAACCCAGCGGUCCGAGCCGCCCCAUCAUCCUUGGCCUAUCAGUGCUGAUCGAGCCACCUGCACUCAUGUGCAAAUGUUUUAUUUAAAACGGAUUGAGUGAGGAAGAAAGUUACCAGUGCGUAAUUGCGAGGUCGAGACGAGGUCUCGGUACCCUCGUUGUUGGACGUAAGGGCGUCCUUGGGGGUAUAUCCCCAGAUCUGCCUUUUUCUGGUGGCGAAAAAUUUUGCUUUCCCUUUUACAAGUCCUUGGAAAGGGUCAUCGCUCCUCCAUUAUUAUGGUAGUAUGUUGCGGCCUGCUUGCUUCAUUCCUACCGGACGCCUUCCAUACUGGGGAGGGAAAUUAAAUUUGUUCACUCGUCAGUUAUCGGGGGUGAUUUUUGUCAAGCAGCUUGGCAUCUUUCCUUCGGAGCUGAUGGUUAUCUUCGGCCUCGCGGCCGCACUUGCUAUGUAGUUCUCGUGUCAAGCUGUGAUUCCUUUGAGGGAAAUUCGGCCGAGUAGGUCCGAACCAUUUGACAUCCCUGAUUUCGCCUACGGUAAAUGCGAUGUUUGAUAUAUGGAUGUGGAAAUUGUAUUCUGACGGGCAAGGCGCCCUUACCGACCAUGCGCCCUCAUCGAAUUUGGCUUUGUCGUUGAUUCCUCGAGGAUGUUGCCCUCGGGCCAUUCUCCGAUCGUUGCGAGGUAGAUAGCAUCUCGGGGCGUCCCUCUUGUCUGCGGCGCACGGGCGGUACCUUAUUCUGUUUGGCAUUGGUUUCUUUGCCAGGAGCCUAUUUGAGUAAAGUGAGCCCGAGGGGGCUUCCGGAUGGCCAUCCAUGACCCUGAUUUGUGACCGAUGCCGGGUACGGGCACCCGACCAGGUCUUGGCUGGGUACCUGGUCAAUUUUUGUUUGAACUGCCCUGAGAUUGUCGGUGUUGGGCUGUUUAGGCUAUAAGUGAAGGCCUGUGUUGCCCAUUCAUCCGAGGUCGGGGGAAUUCUCGUUCGUUCCACCAGGGAAUAAGGUGUGAAUUCCUAUGGCAUUUCAUUCUCCCUUUGUUCGGCCCUGGUUAUGUUGGGCUUACUUCGAUGGUAUUUGUGUGCGUCUUUACGGGGGAAUCUGCCGGUAUGGUAGGCGAGUUUAUAGGAUCGGACGCUAGGUUAUGACGCCACACCAUGGUUCCUUUCGAAAGUGUUUCCCCGAACCUCUUCGAUAAGGCGGGCUUGAACUCAUCAUCCCUUGGGUCAUUGCCUUUUCUCGCGCAUGUAUAGGCGGUGACGUGUUCGUUUGGAUCUGAGGUCCCGUUGUACUUAUGGAGCUCUGUGUUCUGGACUUCUUUGAAAUAGGUUCUGGGGCCUCUUCCUCGGGGAACGGCCAUUGCACGAACUUCCUCGAAUCUACACCUUUCGGGACUGGGGGUGCGCCCGGGAUUUGGUCAACUCUAAAGUUAUAGGUUUCGACCUUCUUAUCGUUGGCUGUUAUCAUUUUCUCGCCUGACUCAAUCCUUUUGGUGAGAUCCUAGAGCAUCUUUGCUAUGGCAGGGUCGGCUACCGAUCCGUUACUACUUGAUAUCUCAGGUACUUGCUCGGUGGGGGGAGUUGUUUCCGGCGCCGCUGUGCUGGGNNNNNNNNNNNNNNNNNNNNNNNNNGUGUGAGGUUUCGUCGACUUGCUGAGCGCCUUCGCAAAACCGCAUCCACGGGAACUGGUCCAGGUACGUUAUCAGGGUUCUACGGUGGCGCGCCAAUGACUGGUUCAACCAUACCGUUUUCUCCAUGAUUUUCAAGGUUGCCAUUCUCGACUCUAUUUACCGAGCCAGACAUUUUGACCUAAAAUCAAGAGAUCUUGGACAAGAAAAAGUGUGAAAGAUAACUUGAGUUUUUGUAAUGGAACCAGCAAGAAAAUAAUCACUAUUAUUUUUAGCCCCACGGUGGGCGCCAAACAGUUUACCGUGAAAAUGGUAACAAUAAUUGAAUUUGCAAAUGGGAUUCUAAACAUACGUGAUCUAUUUUUAUGCUAGUUGUUAGAGUAGAUGAUGCUAAGAAUAUGAAGUUUGACGAUAAAAUACAAGCUAAAACGGGGCAGUGAUCUAACCAAGGGGCCUGCUGCCCUGACUUCGAAAUGGUUGAUGGAAGACCUCGAGGUCGAUAUAUGGGCUCGAUCUCGAACUAUCGGGGGUAGUCGGGAAUGGGAUAACAGUUAAGAUAUGAUUGAACAAGGCUCUUUAGGGCCAAUACCAAGCAAUAAAUGAAGAACAAUCAAGAGAAUAGUAAAUAUUAGAGUGGCCUCGAGCUAAAAAUGACGAGCAAGUUAGAGAGAAGAAAGAGAGAGAGAGAGAUGUUAUUGAUCUUAUAGACAAAUAGUUGGAGCAACAUCAGCCCCUUACAAAGUAGUGUGGGUUCCCUUUAUAUAGGAGGGGAACGCAGCAAUAGUACAACAUAUAUUAAUUGUAAAGCAUGGAGAUAGGACGGCGAGAUGCGACGCUUCGGCAUAGGCUCUGGAUAUGCCGGCUCUGUCAGAUUUUAGCUGUGUUCCUUGGGAGCUUCCCCUUCUGCUCUAGCCUCAACCUUUGCCUUCUUCGAGUUGGGCCCCGACGAUUUCUGAGGGAGGGGACUUGUUCGCGGCUCCACAUCUUCGGGGUCUCGAGGCAUUCUUCUCAAGUGGCUUGAUAGCGAGGAAUUAUGUCCUCUAAUUUCGCCACAUACAGAACAUUCGAUUUACUAGGCGUUGAUAGGUUGCACCAACAAUUUUUAAUCCGAAUGGUAUUACAUUAUAACAGGUGCCAUACUUUAUGUUGAACGAGGUCUUUUCCUGGUCCUCCAGGUUCAUCUGUAUUUGGUUGUGCCUGGAGUAGGCAUUGAGGAAACUGAAAGCCUCGUGGUCGGUCGUGGCAUCGAUCAUAUGAUCGAUGUUAGGCAAGGGAAAAGAAUCCUUGAGGCAUGCUUUAUUCAGGUCUUUAUAAUCUAACGCAUUCUAAGUUUAUUUCCCUUCUUAGGGACUACCACUACGUUUGCUAACCACUCGGGAUACUUUACUUCCUGAAUGGAUCCUAUUUUAAGAAGUUUGGUUACCUCAUCUUUAAUGAAAACAUCCUUUAUCUCGGACUGAGGCCUCUUUUUUUGUUUCACCAGGUAGAACUUCGGUGGGAUACCUGUCAUAUCGAUAUGGGACCAGGUAAAACAAUCCAUAUUAGCUUUAAGAAAUCGAAUAAGUUUUUUCCUGAGCUCGGGAGAUAACCCCAUGCCCUGGUAUACCUUUCGAUCGGACAAAUGCUUAAUCAGUAUGAUUUGUUCUAGCUCUUCGACCAUUGAUUUUGUGGCGUCAAAAUCAACGAGGAUUAUGAAGGAUUGAGGUAUCAUACAAUCAUCAUCCUCGUAAGUUCCUUGCUCCUCCGGUCAGGUCGAGGGUGGUGGAUGUGGUUGCUAUUUGGCCUAUUACUUUCCCUUUGAAUCUGAUCCCUUUGUUGAAGAAAGUGUUGAUACUUAUAUCACUUCAGCGAUUGCAAACAUCUCUUUGGCGAAAGGUUGUUCCUCGUACACUAUUUCGACUCCCUCCUAUAUCGGGAACUUAAAAACUUAGUGAAGGGUCGAGGGUACUACCCUCAUGUUAUGGAUCCAAUGUCUUCCGAGCAGUGCAUUGUACCUCAUGUUACCCUCGAUCAUAUGGGACUUUGUUUCUUGGAUGGUCCCCGCCAUGUUUACCGGUAAUUUCACCUUUGGUGGUUUCGCUUUCCAUAUUGAAGUUGUUAAGUACUUGGGCUGCGGGCACAAUUUGAUUUUUUAGGCCGAGUCGUUCCACGACCCUCGCUCGAAUAAUGUUGGCCGAGCUACCUGGAUUAAUCAACACACAUUUAACUUGAAUUUUACUCAUAAAUACAAAUAUUACUAGUAUGUCAUUAUGAGGUUGUUCGAUCCCUUCUGCAUCCUCGUGAUUAAAAGACAAGGUUUCUUCUAGUAAGUAGUCUCGAGUUCACUUUUCCCUUGUGAUCAUCACCUUAGUGCAUUUAAAUACUGAUCCUUGACGAACAUCGACCCCUCCAACGAUCAUGUGAAUCACGUGUUAUGGCUCUUCUUUCUCGUUUUGUUUGUUUGAAUCUCUAUUUUUAAAGUGGUUCUUGGCCCGAUCACUUAAGAAUUCUCGAAGAUUCCCCUCAUUGAAUAAUUGAGCUACUUCCUCCCUUAGCUGCCUGCAAUAUUCUGUUUUAUGACCAUGGGUGCCAUAAUACUUGCAUAUUUGGUUUGGAUUUCUCUGAGCCUAAUCGGUCUGCAGAGGUCAAGGCUACCUGGUAUCUUUGAUACAUCCAAUGGCCAACACUAUGGUGGAAGCAUCUACGUUGAAGUUAUAUUCUGACAAUCAAGGUUCUUCUUUGGACCCGGAAACUCUAUCGAAACCAUUCUUGCUCAUGAGUCCUCUAGAGCUCUAUCCUCAAUCGUUCCUUCUAUCAUUCCGAACGGGGUUGCGUCCAGGACCGUUAUUUCUCCGAUCUCCGCCGUAUGGAUGAUAUCGAUCUCUGUUCAACCAUGGAUCCCGAUCAAUGUCCUUUUUAACUCUGUAGACGGGCCUACUCGGCUAAACUGACCCAAAAGGAUCCCCAACUGGUCAUCUUCGACCCUAAUCUUUGACUGUUAUCGAUUAUGUACAUCGUUCUAAAUGACAGCUAGAUAUUUGAUUAAAUUCUGCUUUAAUUAUUGUGAAGUUAUGAAACUCCGAUCGUUAAGACCUUGAGUGAAGGCUUGAACAACUUAAUUGUCGAUGACCGGUGGAAAAUCCAUCUGCUCUAUUUGGAAUCGAGAUACGAAUUCCCUGAGCAUCUCGUUGUCUUUUUGUCUUACCUUCAAAAGUUCCGACUUUCUUGCAGCAACCUUAAUGGCUCCGGUGUGUGCCUUUGCAAAAGAAUCUGCAAGCAUAGCAAACGAGUCAAUAAAAUUAGGUGGUAAAUUAUGAUACCAUAUCAUAGCACCCUUUGAUAGAGUCUUCCCAAACUUCUUCAGCAAUAUGGAUUCAAUCUCGUCAUCUUCCAAGUCAUUUCCCUUGAUAGCGCACGUGUAUGAGGUGACGUACUCGUUUGGAUCUGUUGUUCCGUUAUACUUUGGGAUCUCGGGCAUACGAAACAUCUUGGGGAUUGGAUUCGGAGCCGCACUCAGGGGGAAAGGUUUAUGUGCAAACUUUUUGGAAUCUAGUCUUUUCGAUAUCAGUGGUGCCCCCGGGGAUUUGGUCGACCCUGGAGUUAUAAGUUUCCACUUUCUUAUUGUUUUCCUCGAUCUUCUUUUCCCCUGUCUCGAUUCGCUUUGUCAGUUCCUCGAGCAUCUUUACGAUAGCAGUCUUCGAUUCUCCUCAACUCGAUCUCUUUGGCACCGAUUCGACUCUAUGAACAACUUCUUGUGAUGGCUCGAGCUCGAUCCUGCUUGGUGCACGAUUCUGAUUUUAGAGUUGUGAUAUUGCAGCUUGUUAAGUUUGCAACAUUUCGAAUAUCAUUCGAAGGCUAAUCCCGCAUUCUUCACCACUCUGUGCGUUCUGAUCGGCUGUUCAAGCAUCUCUGCGGAUGUUAUUUUCAGGAUCGACGCCCAAAUUUCCAUUAAUGGCAAUAUGGGAGCUGACGUCGAUUAGGUCCACAACCGGAGCUCCAUCGGGGUUGACUGGUGGUACUCUAUUUCCUGGGGCGGCUAUGUUUUUGUUCUCGCCAUAAAGACCAAGGCCAUUAUCUGUGUGUGUGGGUGUCACUUGGGAGUUUGACAUGUUGAUCCUGGAAUCAAAGACACUUCAUAGAACAGGCAUAAAAUAGUGUGCAUUAUAAAAAUUGUACCAGGCAAUCACUAUUAUCAUUAACCCCACGGUGGGCGCCAAACUGUUUACCCUUAAAAUUGGAUAACAAUUAAACUUAUACAUGGUUUUAAGGAUAUGUGAUUUCACUUGGCAUAAACUGAUAAAUAUGAGAAUUAAUAUUAGAGAUUAGCAGUAAAAUAAAACAAACCAAUGGGAUGAACAAUUGUGGCCCUCGAGCUAAACUGCCCUCGAACCAACUAAGUAUGCUAUUGAAAAGUAUGAACUGAACAAUAGAGCUUGCGAGAGAAAAAAUGUAAUGCAUUGAUUGGUUAUGUGUGAAUAUAUGAUUACAAAAUGAUUAUGACCCUCUUUAUAUAGUAGAGGAAUCCUAUUUAUGGUAUAAUUCUAAUUACAAAAGGAAAUCCCAUGAUUGGAUAAAUGUCCGGUCUUGACUUGACACGUGCCGAGAUUUUCGCCAUGAUCCUUGCCCGAUCACGGAUAUCUUGGCUUUCUGUUAUUCAAUCUAGCAGGCUUCCUUCGGUCUUGCUCGAUCUCUUUCUCGCUUCCGUCUCGAUCACGGCUGGUCUCAAUCUUGAUCGGUCAUUGAUCCACGAGCUUACCAAUCCAUCUCCGUACCAUGGUCCGAUAUAAUCGAGGCCGAGCCUUAAUCUGCCAUCCCGAUUUCGGUUAGUCAUACAAAAUUAGGCAAGCUCGAUUUUGACAGUAUAUUAACUUUAUAAUCUGGCUAAGUUUGAUUACUCAUGAUUUAGAUAUAUGGGGUUCUUUUUAUUAAUCUUUGCAGUUUGCACUAUGAUUCUCGCUAGAUGUGUAAUUUACGCACGUAAUGAAUAUUUUUAGAGUUUUUUAUUUUUAUUUUUUUGCUCAACCACCCUCCUUAUGGUGGGGUAAUAGACAUCAAAAGUUGUAAUUCGGUAUGGUUGCAGAAACCUUGCUUAGUUUUUAGGUGUGCAAGCUGCAAAGUAAACCAAGUUUAGAAGGAUUUUUCCGUAUUAAUAACCCAAAGAUUUAAGAUAAGAACUCUUUCUUAAACAAUUUUAAUUUAUAAACUUUGAACAAUUUUAGUUUAUUGCUCGACGAAACUUAGAAACGUGCAAAAUAACCCAUGUGACAUACGGGUUCGGCCUUCACGAACUAGCUGCCUAGGUAGGGUUAGUUGGUUUCUUGGUCAAAAGAUCUCAAACUGUAAUUUCUAGCCACGACUGCUAGGUGAUUGGAGCACAUGGUCACAACUCACGAUAUCAUACUCAUCUUUUUCCACUUUAUGUGAUACUAUAUUACCAUUAUUAGCAAAAAUCAAACAAAGAAAUUUUAUCACGUUUUUUGUAAAUAUUUUGAAUUAUAAUAUACUAUUGUGACUUUAGUACUUCUAAUUUAGUUUCUAAACAUAAAUAUUUUAAUUCAAAAAAUUUCAAAAUUCUUUGUAUGAAUUCAUAUCGAGAAUUAAUCAGCUUGACUCUCAUAUUCUAAAAAGGUUCACAUAAAUUGAAACUGAGACGUAAUUUAUGUGAAUUAAGCACAGCACAAUGUAGAAGACAUUAUUAAAGAAGUAUCUAAAAUACUUAUUUUUAAUAAUUUAACUUUUUAAAAUGAAGGUCACAAAAUUAAGAGUAGAGUAGAAUGCUUGUCCUCUGUUUAACAAUUUGUCUUCUUAAAUGACACGAUCGAACAAAUCAAUACUAGUCGGAAUCUGCAAAUUUCUCCGAUGUAGGUUCUAGGCUUCAUGAGUGGCUAGUACCUUUGUUUACUUUUUUUGUAUCUUAAUAGGCUUGUUUUAGGGCUUUUUCUAUGGGUAGGGUGUAACCCGGUCAUUAUCCACAUACAGAACUCACACAGUGUGAGUCAUAUUCAACAUCCAGUAAAAACUAGUACACACCAAGUAGGGGUGUUCGUCGGUCGGUACGAUUACGGUUUUUCUCCCUCCCAAUAAUGAGUGAGUCAAUUGUUUUUUUGGCUCUUUACAAAUUUAUUUUUAGUUUUAUGAUCCUAUUUUUUUUUAUACAUGAGAAAUUUACUUUUACAUGUCACAGAUCUGCCUUUUAUACGUAAGAAAUAUAAAAAAGUCAUUUUAAUACAUUUGAAAUUGUAAAGGAAUACGAUAUACAAAUAGCACGUAGCAAAGUAUUAAAUGUUGAUAAAUUUUAUUGAUCUCCAUCUCUCUGCGUUCAGAUGGUGCCAUGGCGUGGUCUUUGUCACACUCUUGAAUAUAUAGGCUUGCAUUCUCUUACUUUGAAUAUUUGUAGAGUUCCUAAAAUUUCACAACCAAAAUUAUUAACUUAAAUCCAUCCAGUUUAGAAGUCUUAGAAGUUAUAUUUUAUAACGUGAGGUCCCAUGGAAGGCAAGGAAUACCUUUCAUACUAUAUAAUUUAUCUUGGAAAAUUAAUCUUCCACCAAAACUAUGACUAAGCUUUCCUACGUAAAAUAAAGGCCCUACCAAUUACUCUUUUAUUAAUCUUGAUAUGAUGAAGAAUUAUAUGUAUCCCUAGCCUUUUAAGAUAGUUUAUUUGCUGUUCAAAUAUAGCUAACAUUGAAGAUUGAAUUUAAGUAUUACAUGAUAGGGUACAAGUGGUGGGUGAAAUUCAACAAUUAGUCAAUUUUUGGUGGGACAGUUGCAAUCAAAGAAGUUGUAAAAACCUUGACUUUGGCAUCCACUAAUGUAUAUGCCGACUACAUCAGUAGACUACUAGGGUAAGACAAGGUUAAUUGAAAAAAUUAAGUUGACCUAAAUUUAGAAAAUUAUCAUUCAAAUGGACACAAUUAUAUAUAAGGGAGCCGCCAAUUAAUGCUUGUCUAAAAUUACGAUGUAGAGAAGUUCUUUGAAGUUUUACUGUGACAUACACACGAUCUUCUCAUUCUCUUAAUUAAUUCGAUUCUCUUUUAUGUAGUUUGUUUAGUAUAAUUAAUUAACGCAAGUAGUUAUACUAUUUCUCUUAUCAAGCUACAUAAAAUUCAGUUACAAGUAGCUUAUGACAUCAAGAAAGAAUUACUGCAACCUACAAAUGAUAAUUAACCUGUGGGUAAAAUUAGUUGUGGGAAAUAGUGAACCUAACUCCCCAUGCAUACGUGAAGACAAAAUUAUAUAAUUUUUAACUAAUGUAGGGUAUCCAAUUUAAAAUAUGAAAGAUAAAAAACAAUUGGGAUAUAUGAGGACACUGACCAUUGUCAAUCCAUUGUGGAUUUAAAAAAAAAAAAUCAGACUACUAGUAUACGCUUUGAAAAGUAAACGCUGCAUAGAAAGUUUUUGAUAGUAGAAGGUGUCUCUUUUACUACGGAAAAAUUCUUGGUAGGGAACGCUUCCUCCCAAUAGGGUCCGAUGCGAUGCGAAUUCGGAUAUAGUCAGGCUUCAAUACAUAUAUCGAACAUCGGGCGGAAAACCAAAAAAUUAAAAAAAAAAGGUCUUUUUAAUUCUAGUACUAGUAUUAAAUCACUAUUAUAUGUUUGGUUUUGAGAAUUUAUUAAGUAGGAGACAACUGGAUUUUACCUAGCUCUUUUAGAAUUUAUUCCCCAAUAUUUUAAGUCUUUCUCGACUACAUGAUGCGUUAUCAAUUAGGGACUGGUAGCUGAAUACAUUAAAAUUUGACCGCUGUAUUGUCAAUUUAAUCGCGAUUUCCCAUUGCAAAUUAAAUCGAUUGAUUUAGGGAGUGCAAACUCAUGAAAACCAUGAUACUCUUUUAUUUACUUUGUAAUUAAGAACACAAAACAAAUUACCAGAAAAGAAAAAGAAACUACAUAGUAUGGAAAUUCUUCACUCUUCAAUUUUUAUAUAUGUAACUUAAUUAAAUCUUUGGAACAAGAUCUAUUUCCUCAAAUCUUGAAAAUCAUUGUAAUUAUAGGGUUGUAGAUAGGGGCGGAAGAGGAGAACAGGGAUAGUAAUUGAUGAAUGAAUUUAUCUAAUAUUGGGGCCAUCACUAAUGCAAAACUUAAAAGUGGGAAUUACAACAAAAACCAAAAACUUAAGGGUGGCCCUCCCCAUUUCCAUAAUAAUUUAGUCAACAUAUACUGAUCUAACUAUUACUAGUAGGUGAUACUUAUAGAUUAGCUAGCUGGAAGGAAGAAAAGAAUUCAUGAUUACAACUAUCUUAAUAGUAUCAUUUAUUCAUUUUUAAGAUGCCUUAAAUAUUCGCAUGUGUUUGGUGAACUCUACUAACUUUACUACAAACAUAAAAUACUUUUUUCAUUUAUAAUUUACAUUUACUCCCUCCCACCUUCAUUCCCUCCUGUCCAAGUCGUUUAUGAAUAAUUUCUUUUUAGGGAAUUAGGUCAAGAAAAAAUGGAAGAAAUAUAAUAGAAAUGACAUAACAAAAAUAUGAAUCUUCAACUUCCUGAACACAAAAUAAGUUAUCAAAAUAUGGAUAAAUACUGGCUAAAGUAUUUCAGAAGAAAUUAUUGAUAUCCCAAAUCUUUGAACCUGAUCAUCGACGGAAGAUCUAGAGGUUUAAGUUCUCUAGACAAAGUUAUGAAUAUUUUCUAAAGCGGUAGCAGAGUUAUAUAAUCUAAUAUCUACUUCGAGCUCAAGUCAAUUUGUAGUAUAUUUUUACCUCACCAUUUCUUGUAAAUAUUACUAAAUUUUUUCUUGUUAAAAUCCAUGGAAAUGCAGUGGUUUAACUAAUGUACAUAUUGUUACGUAUGGAGUGAUUACUUUGGGAAAAUGGAUAAAAUAUGGAUGAAAAGCUAAAUUUUAUCAACUAUAAGGUCUUAAAGAUAAUGACUUGGAAUAUGGAGAGAAAAAAAGUGGUCCUAAGAAACUUCAUUUUUCAUGUGAGACUAUGACAACUAAUUAUACAUUAGGUUUUGAGCAUUAAUUGUCCUAGUAAUAGUUUUCAUAUUUAACCAAAAUACCUUCUUGAGUCAAAGAACAACAGGAACCUAUUUCUGAAGGAAAAAGAUUUCACCUUGUUCUAGCUCUUAAAUCUUUUAUUAGUUUCUUAGACGUUGGUGCAAGUCGUUUUAUUUAUUUAUGUUUACUUUUGAUGUUCAAAAAAAGUUUUGUGUUAUUUCGUUUUUUGUUUUUGGGGGGUUUUAGGGGAGGGGUGGUAUUGUGUUGUUNNNNNNNNNNNNNNNNNNNNNNNNNNNNNNNNNNNNNNNNNNNNNNNNNNNNNNNNNNNNNNNNNNNNNNNNNNGUUGUUAUUUCUUUUUUUUUGGGGGGUUUUGGGGGGGGGGUAGGAAAUCUGUUUUGAGCUUGCAGCACACAUGAGAAUUUUAUUCUAAUUAGUCUUAUAAUACUAAUUAACAUCGAAAGUGCUUAUUUUCAAACUUUAUCUCUCUAGACUUCUUUACGGUUGAUAAUUGGAUAAGCCCAUAUGGAGCCCAAUCAUAUGCAAUCACAUUGGGCCUAUGUGCGCUUAUGGGUGGAGGGCCUGGGAUUCUUUUCCACGAAUACGUCCUGAAACUUGAAAGAAAAUUUUAGGAAAAAUACACUGUAUAGCCACUCUGAAUAUAAUAGCCGAAAAAUAUUUUUUUUUUGUACAUAUAAAUUUUAUACAGUUUUUUGGUUAUCAAAUAUAAAUAAUUUUUGGCACGGGACUAAAAGUUAAAAAGAUCCAAAAUUUUACUGAAUGUUAAUUUGUGGAUCUGUUUAUUUGUUAAAAACAUGCUAAAACGGUAUAAAUAAUUUUUAUUUUGAAAUAAAUCAAAAGUGAUGCUAUUUAUGUGGAUAGUCUUAAAUAAAGGAGCAACCGCUAAAAAUCUCAAAUUUUGUCAGUUGUCCCUUUUUGUAUCAGGCACUUUUUUUUUUUGGGUGAGUAAACUAUUUUAUUUACCAAUAGCAAAUAUGUACAAGUAUGAAACAAAAACAAUUGGCUUUGGACAGGCUCCAAAUCAGAACAUCACUACUACUGCUACUUCUUUUACAAUUGAUGGACCUUUUAGACCUCGAUCUAAAGAUCCUUUUUUGAGAAAUCUGAAAAUCUUAUGGUAAAAACGUUAGACCGCGAUCUAAAAUUUUGGUAAAUUAUGAAAUGAUAGACCAUAUCCUAAUUAUUUUAUGAGUAAAUUAAAACUUACAUGUGGAAACAUUAUAUUCGAAUAUAACCUUGACUUAAUAGGUAUUUUCCAAGGGCCCAAUAUUGGCACAAUUAUUUGAAAUAGAGCCAAAAUCUAAAUAAUGACAUUAAAAGAUGACAUUUGCGUAAACCAACUGAGUACGUGCCAAAAUCUUAGGGUACGCGCUUCGCGCGUGUACCAAAUUAAUGAGUACAUGAUUUAAAAAUUAACAUAAAUAUUAUUAACCGAUAUAUUUAAGUUAUAAAAUAAAAUUUAAACAAAAAAUUAUAAGUUUUUGAAAAUAACGAAUGUAAUCCCAUUUGUGUAACUCAAUGAAAGAAAAAUAUUUCCGCUCACAUAAAUCCUUGAAUAUCUUAUUAUGAUUUCUGAGUACUUCAAAAUAUCUUAUGAGAAUUUUUAUAAUUUUUAUGACCUAAUACUAAAAACAAACAAGUAACGAAAAUAUAUUUUUAUUACAAUUUGUUCUAUAUAAUAGCCAAUUUUCAAAAAGGAAUUAUAUUGAAAUUAAUCUAUUCAAAACGAUGGGACAAUUGAAUAAACAGAAAGAAAAACAUUGGUUCUAACCUAAAUAAUAAAUUGGAAGAUCGUGGUUUUGUUAGAAUUCAAAUUUUAAGUGCAAACAAUUUUUUAAAAUAUUAUUCUAUCCAAUUAUAUAUCGACAAGGAGAUGCUUGACGGCUAACUUGGUGCUCUGUUUAUUAAUCUCUCUUUAAUUGGGAUUAUUUAUUAUCUUUUCCAUCCCAAAUUGGUUAUUCAAUUUCAAUUUUCCUAAUUAUUAUGAGAAAGAUAUUCUAUGUGAAGUAACCAUUUUUUAUAUGAAAACAAGCACUUAUAAUUUGUUAGAAGUCAAGAAUGUCGAUGUAAUGUUCCUUCUUCUAUAGUAAACAUUAGGAAAGAUUAAAGUUUCUAAAUAUUAGGAGUUUUUACAUAGAACAAAUAAGGAAAAAUUUAACCUGUCAAAGUUUUAAUUGAUAUAAAAGUCCUAAAUAUUAUAAAAAUAAUGGUAUAACAAUGACAAUUUUAUCUAAUGUGAAAUUCAUUUUUAAAAAGAUAAAAAAGGUGAAUAAUAUUUCACUAAGGGGUUUCGUGCUUUUAAUAUAGUACUAGUUUCUAUGUACAUGCGUUGCACGUCAAUAAUGACACGUGAUAAAAAAGAUAUUGUAAUGAAAAUCUACUGGAAUGACACAAGACUGAUAAAUCCCUAAUCUUUUUCUAUUUUGAUUUUUUUAUGAAUUAUUGAAUGAGUAUACAACUUGAAUUUAUCAGUAAAGCUCAAAGUCUCAAAGGCUCAAACUGUUCAACCCUUUGAUCCUUAUAUACAAUCCUAAAUGAAAACAAUGUUCACUACAAAGAAGAAGAAAAUAAUAGAGAACUAAUAAUAAUUUUGGAGAAGUUUGCCGAAUUUGUUACUUUUUUCUAAAACAGCACAACUUAAAACUAAUUCUCCUUCAAAUAUGUAUGAUGAAGAAUGUGGAAUAGUGUCUUCCUCUCCUCCUUUCUCUAAGUACAUUCGUGCAAUACGUUUAUAUGCAUUGAAUGGUAAAUAUGGUUUUAAUAAAAAAAAUAAAAGGAGAUCAAGUUACCCAUACCGAAAAUAUAAGUUCAAGUAUGACAAGAAAAAAA
rnacentral:lncRNA from 1 species